UACGAAGGGGGCUAGCGUUGUUCGGAUUUACUGGGCGUAAAGCGCACGUAGGCGGUUUGUUAAGUCAGGGGUGAAAUCCCGGAGCUCAACUCCGGAACUGCCUUUGAUACUGGCAGCUAGAGUCCGGAAGAGGUAAGUGGAACUCCUAGUGUAGGGGUGGAAUUCGUAGAUAUUAGGGAAGAACACCAGUGGCGAAGGCGGCUUACUGGUCCGGAACUGACGCUGAGGUGCGAAAGCGUGGGGAGCAAACAGG
rnacentral:rRNA from 1 species